rnacentral:rRNA from 1 species
UACGUAGGGGGCUAGCGUUGUCCGGAAUCAUUGGGCGUAAAGCGCGUGUAGGCGGCCCGGUAAGUCCGCUGUGAAAGUCGGGGGCUCAACCCUCGAAUGCCGGUGGAUACUGUCGGGCUAGAGUACGGAAGAGGCGAGUGGAAUUCCUGGUGUAGCGGUGAAAUGCGCAGAUAUCAGGAGGAACACCAAUUGCGAAAGCAGCUCGCUGGGACGUUACUGACGCUGAGACGCGAAAGCGUGGGGAGCAAACAGG